GUGGGCGUGGGGAGUAUGACCUUGGGGAUUAUAUCAGGUCCUUUCCUCUCUAGCUCUUUCUCUGUUGCUUUGCUUCCUGACUGCCAUGAGGUAAGUAGCCAGCCCUUCUGUCAUGCUGUUUCUGCCUUGGAGCCAGCUGAUCAUGGACUGAACCCUUUGAAACUCUGAAACCUCUCCUCCUUUGAAACUCUUUAAACCUCUCCUCUCCUGGCAAGGGUUAGCUAUGUUGUCUCAACAAUGGGAAAGCUGACUAAUGCAAAAGGAGAGCAUGGUAGGCACCUUGUGCUUUAGGCAGGUCCUUUCAGUGGCCACACUGUGGCUGUUGGGAGCAGGAAAUGUUAGACAUGGGAGACCAGAGAUAGAAGAGGGGUGGUGAGGAAGGGAAGAGGACAGUAUGAAAGGCCUCUUUGUCCUCUUCCAGGCUGUGCAGAGACAGGGAGUCCAGGGCAGAGCAUGGCAGGAUGGCAAGGGGAAGGAGGGAAGAACAGUGCUUGAGUCUGUUGAUACCCAGCUGGAAGAUUGUCCCUUCCUGGGGUCCAAGUGGGUCCUGAGUUGGCUCCAGGGCUCUGCCUGUUUCUCUGAUGUGACCUGGGUCUGCCAUUGCCUGGGAAGGUGCCUUGAAGCCUGGAUGGCAUCAAAUAGCAAAUAAAAAGCACCACAAGAUGAGAGAGAAAGACUGCGGAGAAAGGAGAAACUUUUCAUUUUGAACAAGUGACCUCUCAACUAUGGAUAAAGGCUGUAGCGGAGACUGAGAGGAUAGGCAGCCCACUCAGAUCCUAAAGCCAUUGGAGAUGAGCCAGUGAUGGAACGCUGGAUUCUGUUGGGGUCUGGGAGCAGGAUUCAUGAAGAUGAUGGUGACAGUGAUGGUGGUGAUGGUGAUGAUGGUGGUGGUGAUGAUGAUGGUAGUGAUGAUGGUGAUAAACUAACAUUAUUGAGCUGAGCAUGAUAUUGACACAUGCAAUAACUCAUUCAUCUUCAUGACAAUUCUGGGAGGCAGGAAGAAUUACCUCCCACUCUUCAAAGGAGCAAACCAUGGCUUUGAAAUGUUGAGCAACCUGACAAAAUCACCAAGCAGGGUAGCCAGACACCCUGUACUCUCAGACUGUAGGGCCAACUUCUCUGCUCUCCUGCCUCCUGGGAGUAACCCACUUGAUGAUGUUGCUUCUGUCUCCUUGAAACUUAGGCUCCUCUUUGUAAGAAACAUUCAUUAAAUGUACUUAUUUUUCCUUUGAAAAAAUGAGUCACAAGAUUCCUUUUCCUGGGUUAGUUGACAGAAUCUUU
rnacentral:lncRNA from 1 species